CAGCAGCCGCGGUAAUACGAAGGGUGCAAGCGUUACUCGGAAUUACUGGGCGUAAAGCGUGCGUAGGUGGUGGUUUAAGUCCGUUGUGAAAGCCCUGGGCUCAACCUGGGAAUUGCAGUGGAUACUGGGUCACUAGAGUGUGGUAGAGGAUAGUGGAAUUUCCGGUGUAGCAGUGAAAUGCGUAGAGAUCGGAAGGAACAUCUGUGGCGAAGGCGACUAUCUGGGCCAACACUGACACUGAGGCACGAAAGCGUGGGGAGCAAACAGGAUUAGAGACCCCUGUAGUCCCUGUCUCUUAUAA
rnacentral:rRNA from 1 species